AGGGACACAUAUGAAGUCUCGGAGCCGGGUGUUGGUUCCGGUAGCGAUCGAGGGAAGUUAGUACCGAAGUCCGGGAUGGAAGAUGGCGAGAAAAGCUGUGUGGAUUUCUGCGGUGCCCGUACCGCAAACCGACACAGGUAGGUAGGAAGAAGAUUCUAAGGCCAACGGGAGAAGGGUUGUUAAGGAACUCGGCAAAUUGACCUCGUAACUUCGGGAGAAGGGGUGCUGCAGCAAUGCAGCCGCAGAGAAUCGGCCCAAGCAACUGUUUACCAAAAACACAGGUUUGUGCUAAAUCGAAAGAUGACGUAUACGAGCUGACGCCUGCCCGGUGCUGGAAGGUUAAGAGGAGAUGUGCAAGCAUUGAAUCGAAGCCCCAGUGAACGGCGGCCGUAACUAUAACGGUCCUAAGGUAGCGAAAUUCCUUGUCAGGUAAGUUCUGACCCGCAUGAAAGGCGUAAUGAUUUGGGCACUGUCUCAACAGCCCGCCCGGCGAAAUUGUAGUACCGGUGAAGAUGCCGGUUACCCGCGACAAGACGGAAAGACCCCAUGGAGCUUUACUGUAGCCUAAUAUUGGGUUUCGAUGUUGCAUGCACAGGAUAGAUGGGACACAGGGAAGCAGGUGCUUUGGCGCUUGUGGAGUGGCCGUUGGGAUACCAUCCUUGCGAUAUUGGAAUUCUAACCUGCGCCUUUGAAUCAAGGCGGGGGACAUUGUUAGGUGGGCAGUUUGACUGGGGCGGUCGCCUCCUAAAGAGUAACGGAGGCGUUCAAAGGUUCGCUCAGCUUGAACGGAAAUCAAGCAAAAGAGUGCAAACGCAGAAGCGAGCCUAACUGCGAGACUGACGGGUCGAGCAGUAACGAAAGUUGGAGUUAGUGAUCCGGUGGUAUGUGAGUGGAAAUGCCAUCGCUCAACGGAUAAAAGUUACCCUGGGGAUAACAGGCUGAUCUCCCCCAAGAGUCCACAUCGACGGGGAGGUUUGGCACCUCGAUGUCGGCUCAUCGCAUCCUGGGGCUGUAUUCGGUCCCAAGGGUUUGGCUGUUCGCCAAUUAAAGCGGUACGCGAGCUGGGUUCAGAACGUCGUGAGACAGUUCGGUCCCUAUCUGUCGUGGGCGCAGGAUAUUUGAUGGGAGCUGUUCCUAGUACGAGAGGACCGGAGCGGACGUACCUCUGGCGCACCAGUUGUUCUGCCAAGAGCAUAGCUGGGCAACUAUGUACGGAUCGGAUAAACGCUGAAAGCAUCUAAGCGUGAAGCCGACCCAAAGAUAAGAUAUCCCAUUGUUUUAAACAAGUAAGACCCCUUGAAGACUACAAGGUUGAUAGGCACGAUGUGUAAGUGGAGCGAUCCAUUCAGCAAGCGUGUACUAAUAGGUCGAGGGCUUGACC
rnacentral:rRNA from 1 species